AACUCUGAUCAGUGGGUCACUUGGCUCGUGCGUUGAUGAAGAAUGCAGCCAGUUGCAAGAAAUAAUGUGAGUUGCAGGACAGAUUGAUCACUGACACUUCGAACGCACUUUGCGGCCCAGGGUUAUUCCCAGGGCUACGCCUGUCUGAUGGUUG